UACAGAGGUCCCAAGCGUUGUUCGGAUUCACUGGGCGUAAAGGGUGCGUAGGCGGUCGGGUAAGUCUGAUGUGAAAUCUCACAGCUUAACUGUGAAACUGCAUUGGAUACUAUCCGGCUUGAGGAAUGGAGGGGAGACUGGAAUACUUGGUGUAGCAGUGAAAUGCGUAGAUAUCGGGAGGAACACCUGUGGCGAAAGCGGCGCACUGGACCACAUCUGACGCUGAGGCGCGAAAGCUAGGGGAGCAAACAGG
rnacentral:rRNA from 1 species